rnacentral:misc_RNA from 1 species
GAUGAAGAACGCAGCGAAAUGCGAUAAGUAAUGUGAAUUGCAGAAUUCAGUGAAUCAUCGAAUCUUUGAACGCACCUUGCGCCCUUUGGCUAUUCCGAAGGGCAUGCCUGUUUGAGUAUCGUGAACACCUCAACUCUCAUGGUUUGCCAUGAUGAGCUUGGACUUUGGGGGUUUUGCUGGCCUUUGGUCGGCUCCUCUCAAACGGAUCAGCUUUCCAGUGUUUGGUGGCGUCACGGGUGUGAUAACUAUCUACGCCUGUUGUUUUCUGCCAGAUAACCUUCAGCGAUGGAGGUUCGCUGGGGCUCAUAAAUGUCUCUCUUCAGUGGAGACAGCUUUUUGGACGUUUGAUCUCAAAUCAGGUAGGACUACCCGCUGAACUUAAGCAUAUCAAUAAGCGGAGGA